rnacentral:rRNA from 1 species
GACGAACGCGGGCGGCGUGCCUAAUACAUGCAAGUCGAACGAGAGCGACCGGUGCUUGCACUGGUCAAUCUAGUGGCGAACGGGUGAGUAACACGUGGGUAACCUGCCCAUCAGAGGGGGAUAACAUUCGGAAACGGAUGCUAAAACCGCAUAGGUCCUUUAACCGCAUGGUUGAAGGAGGAAAAGAGGCGCAAGCUUCUGCUGAUGGAUGGACCCGCGGUGCAUUAGCUAGUUGGUGAGGUAACGGCUCACCAAGGCCGUGAUGCAUAGCCGACCUGAGAGGGUGAUCGGCCACAUUGGGACUGAGACACGGCCCAAACUCCUACGGGAGGCAGCAGUAGGGAAUCUUCCGCAAUGGACGCAAGUCUGACGGAGCAACGCCGCGUGAGUGAAGAAGGUUUUCGGAUCGUAAAACUCUGUUGUUAGAGAAGAACAAGUGCUAGAGUAACUGUUAGCGCCUUGACG